AUUGAACGCUGGCGGCAGGCCUAACACAUGCAAGUCGAACGGUAACAGGAAGCAGCUUGCUGCUUUGCUGACGAGUGGCGGACGGGUGAGUAAUGUCUGGGAAACUGCCUGAUGGAGGGGGAUAACUACUGGAAACGGUAGCUAAUACCGCAUAACGUCGCAAGACCAAAGAGGGGGACCUUAGGGCCUCUUGCCAUCGGAUGUGCCCAGAUGGGAUUAGCUAGUAGGUGGGGUAACGGCUCACCUAGGCGACGAUCCCUAGCUGGUCUGAGAGGAUGACCAGCCACACUGGAACUGAGACACGGUCCAGACUCCUACGGGAGGCAGCAGUGGGGAAUAUUGCACAAUGGGCGCAAGCCUGAUGCAGCCAUGCCGCGUGUAUGAAGAAGGCCUUCGGGUUGUAAAGUACUUUCAGCGGGGAGGAAGGGAGUAAAGUUAAUACCUUUGCUCAUUGACGUUACCCGAAGAAGAAGCACCGGCUAACUCCGUG
rnacentral:rRNA from 1 species